rnacentral:rRNA from 1 species
AAGAGAGAGACAUGCGCGCAUAUCAAUAAGCGGAGGAAAAGAAACUAACAAGGAUUCCCUUAGUAACGGCGAGUGAAGCGGGAAGAGCUCAAAUUUGAAAUCUUCAAGGUUUUACCUUGACGAAUUGUAGUUUAAAGAAGUGUUUUCUGCUGAAGUUUUGGUAAAAGUUCUUUGGAAUAGGACAUCAUAGAGGGUGAGAAUCCCGUAUUUGACCAUUAUUUUCAGCUUUGUGAUACACUUUCAAAGAGUCGGAUUGUUUGGGAAUGCAGUCCAAAAUGGGUGGUAAAUUUCAUCUAAAGCUAAAUAUUGGCGAGAGACCGAUAGCGAACAAGUACCGUGAGGGAAAGAUGAAAAGAACUUUGAAAAGAGAGUUAAACAGUACGUGAAAUUGUCAAAAGGGAAGCGUUUGACACCAGUGUUGUUUUUCUCGAAAAUCAAUUAAAAAUGGCUCGAUUUUGUAUUGCUUGAGACCUUAAAAGCUCACUGUACAUUUUUCGUGUCUUUUUUAAUGCACUUUUCGUUUAACAAGUCAACAUCAGUUUCUUUUGUUGUAAAAGGGUCAUUGGAAGGUGGCUUUCUUUUCGGAGAAAGUGUUUAUAGCCUUUUGCCUCUGCAAUCGGAGAGACUGAGGUCUGCAGCGUAGACUCUUCGGGGUUAGAUACAUUUGUGCUAAGUUAUAGCUUUUUAUAGACAACUUGUUGACUAUAAUUAGUCUUGUAGCUUACUCGCUUAUGCUAUUUUACCUACGCUUAGGAUGUUGAAGAUGUAGCACAUCAU